CGUAGGUGACCUACCUUUUAGUUCGGGAUAACAGUAAGAAAUUACUGCUAAUACCGGAUGUGUUAAAUGAAAUUGAAAUACAUUUAAUAAAGAUGGCCUCUAUACUAUGCUAUCGCUAGAAGAAGGGCCUGCGGCCCAUUAGCUUGAUGGUGGGGUAACGGCCUACCAUGGCGAUGAUGGGUAGCCGGUCUGAGAGGAUGAUCGGCCACCACUGGAACUGAGACACGGUCCAG
rnacentral:rRNA from 1 species